AAGUCGUAACAGGGUUUCAAUGAGGCGCGGUUAAACGUGUUACCGUGGACUUCACCUUUGAAGUACGGAUCGUUUUCUCGAACGGUUUCGGUUUGACGUGUCUGGCCCGCCGCGGAUCAACCUGUCUUGCUCUC
rnacentral:misc_RNA from 1 species